rnacentral:rRNA from 1 species
UACGUAGGGACCAAGCGUUGUUCGGAUUUACUGGGCGUAAAGGGCGCGUAGGCGGCAAUUCAAGUCAGUUGUGAAAUCUCCGAGCUUAACUCGGAACGGUCAACUGAUACUGUUUUGCUAGAGUACAGAAAGGGGCAAUCGGAAUUCCUGGUGUAGCGGUGAAAUGCGCAGAUAUCAGGAAGAACACCCCGUGGCGAAAGCGGCUCUCUGGAACGGUACUGACGCUGAGACGGCGAAAAGCGUGGGGAGCGAACAGGG